AAUACCACAGACAAUUGCUAAACUGAAUGACGGAAAUCAGUUGGCAUUGCAAGGAGAGUCAAAGUUCCAUUCUGCUGAAAAUGAGACGAAGCUUCUUGAUAAGCUAGUAUACAUUUUAGAUACCUUGCAGCCUGCUAAGUUUCAUUGGCAAUGGGUUGAGCUUAGGCUCCUCUUGAACGAGCAAGCUGUAAUGGAGAAGCUGGAGGCCCAUGAUCUCUCUUUAGUUGAAGCUUUAAGAUCCCUUUCGCCGAACACUGAUAAAGCAUCUGUCUCAGAGAACGAGAGCAACAUUAUUGAAAUGAUCCUUACCAGGUUGCUCGUCAGACCUGAUGCUGCUCCGCUUUUUUCUGAAGUUGUACAUCUUUUGGGGAGGUCACUCGAGGAUUCUAUGCUAUUACAGGCUAAAUGGUUUUUAGGAGGCAAUGAUGUUCUUUUAGGCAGGAAAUCUGUUCGUCAACGGCUGCAUAAUAUUGCUGUAAGUAGAGGUCUUUCAACUAGAGCUCAAUAUUGGAAGCCGUGGGGGUGGUGUACUACCAACUCUGAUCCCACAACAAGCAAGAGAGAAAAGUUAAAAUCUGAAGUUUCCUCCAUAGAAGAAGGAGAAGUGGUGGAUGAAGGUACUACCUUGAAGCGGCCUGUGAAGGGGUCUGGUCGUACUGUUGAUGUUGAAAAGCUCCAUGUCACUGAGAGAGCCCUGGUUGAUCUAAUUCUCCCUUGUCUGGAUCAAGCUUCAGAUGAUUCACGAAGCACAUUUGCUAGUGAUAUGAUCAAACAGAUGAACCUCAUUGAGCAACAGAUCAAUGCAGUUACUCGUGAAGCAAGCAAGCCUGCCGGAACAGUUGCUUCUGGAAUUG
rnacentral:misc_RNA from 1 species